AAUGUUAGUUUUUCCUUUGAGUUGAUGAUUUUACUUGUCGUGAAAAAAAUAUUUUCAGAGACGAGAAUUUUCUCUUUUCUCAACAUUUAUUUAAUUUGUUGUUUGUCACAGAAUCUCAAGGUUUUUUUUUUGCUUUUCUCAUAUCUUUUCAUUUUGUGAUGAGAUGGGAACGAUAAAAGCAUUUUGAAAGAUUUGGUGACUCACUCGUCGAGUCUGUCUAGUAUUUAUAUUGCGGAAGUGAAGUACGUAAAGGGGUUUCUGUGUUCUUGUGAACUAGGGUACUUUUGCGAAGUGGAUUGCCUUUCAUUCCCUUUUUUUUUUUUUUCCUCAUGAGUCACCUUUUCUAUCGCCACAUGCAAAUGUGUCAUAAAAAAAAAUUUCCAUUUCUUCCAAAUGAAUUUUUUUUUUUUGCUUUCUUUAGUAGAUAAAAAUAUAAUUAAUAUUUACGGAUUAUUGAAUGAAAUAAGGGAAAAAAAAAUUGAUUUCUAAAAAUAACUCGAAUUGCGUCGUUAUGUGAUUAUUAAAAAAAGAACUUCGAUUACAUUAUACAAUAUUGAUUGUCUUAGAAUAGUUGGGUAUUUGAUCCUCUUAAAGGCAAUAUCAUGGUCACGUGUGUAAAAUACCUUUGGGAUUGAUUUUAUUUAUUUAUUUAUUUUUUUUUUGUAAUCGCAGAAGCGUAACGAGACGCGCAGUUGUUUGUCCACCACAGUUUUCCCUUCGCAUCUAUGUGAAAAUAUUUUUUUUCCGCGCACAUUGACAAUAUAUGAACCUGGUGCGUAUUACAAACUCAAAUGACAGAGACCGGUCAAAUACGUAGAGGCGUAGUAGUGUCGUAUUCUCGCUCGCGACAGAAUCCAAGAAUAGAAACGCACGCGUGCCCUGGUGUUAAAUUGUUACCUCCUGCAAACUUUUCCCUCUCUUUCUAUUUUCGCCACUGUUAGUGAUUCAACCCCUUCUUUUUCAAUGUACACGUCUAUUUAGAUCUCUUCUCGUCCUUUCCUUGUCUCUCUUUUCAACGAAUGCCAUUACAGUCUUCUAAUUCCAAAAUCUCUCUCUCUCUCUUCUUCUUUCUCGCUCACUUUUAAGCAUUAAUCUCCUACGCACUCGAUCUUUCUCUCUCCUUCGACGUGGGACGAUCCUCCUAGAUUCUAUAUAAACCACCGAGUACACUUGAGGAGCUUUGAGUUCGCGAACAACUUUUCAACCGGAAACGUGUGUGUGAUCCAUAGGUGCGAGGGUCGAAAUUCAUAAAUUUUUUUUUGCGAAAAACUUUUUGAGAGACGCUCAUUCAGAGAAAAAUUAAAAAAUAUCUUGAUUGUAAUUUUUUUUCUAUUUUUUUUUUUUUAACGCGAAUUUGCAAAAAGUUUGAUGAAGCGUCUCUCAAUUUUAACGUUCGGCUAAAAAAAUUCAGGAAUUUGAAAAUCAUUUUUAGAUUUGCAAUUUUGAUUUUCAAUUUCUAAAAAAACGUGUCAUUUGUGUGAGCAGAGGUUUGUUUUUUU